AUUUCGCACUUUCACGAGAGUAUAAUAAAGCACUUGCUCAAAAUGGAGAGGAGCAACUUAACAUCAAGAAUAUGAGCAAAAUGCAAGUCAUCGUUGCAUUUCUAACCCCAAAGAAACUAAAAGCUCAUUCGAUUGUUUAUCCUUUCUUCUCUAUUGUUUCUUUGCAUCCUACAGCUUUCAGCAAAAAACAACAUAAAGAUCCAGAAAAAUUAGAUUUUCUUUAUAAAUUUUACAAUUCAAUAAUCAGCGUCAAAAUCUUCACUAUUAUUAUAGUAUCCAGUUCCAUCACAUCCAUAAUAUGAAUCAUCAUCAUUAUCUCUAUACGAGUAAUCAUCGUCCACAUAUUCAUUCUCCUGUUCAAGCUCGUGGAAUCCAUUUUCCAGGUUUUCAGCUGAAUCACCAGUUGCGCAGGCCUUAGGUUCCGGUCCUCCUACCUCUGCCUCUACAGGAACAUGCUUCUGCAACACAAUUCAAAGAACCAAGUGGAUUAAGCACAAUACUGGACAAGUGAGCUAAAGCACAAGGAGAGCGCAGUAGAAAGGUAUACCAAUUCAUCAACCAGCUUCUGCAAAGCAUUAUAAUUUAUUUUCGCACUUGUUCUCUGCAAAUAUUUGAAUUGUAUUAGUAUAACUAGCACAUUCUACCAUCUAAAACAACAUCGAAUGACCAAAACGGAUGUAUAGCUGGAAUAUGCGCACCUUGUUCUCUACUUUUUCCGUUGUUUUAGCAGGUUUAUUAGCAUGGACAUCUUUUUUACCUCCAAUUUCCCGUUUUCGUUUCUUCCCAUGUAAUUUAUAAUCUCCCUGAGAAAAAUAGCAAGUUGAACUAUCUGUGAUACAACUUCACAUAGAUGGGUCAUUAGUAGAUCAAUAGAGGAGUUGUACAUUUAAGAAGACAGACUAAUGUAGUACUAGUUAUCAAAUGAAAAAUGGAGAGGAGAGAGUGAAGUCACUGAUCAGGAAAUGGCAUAUCUGCAUAUGAAAGAUCUGAUUAUAACGCCAUUCCAUUUUCUUUUCUUUCAUUUGCACUGGAACCACUGAUUUCAUUAAAUGCCGAUUCCUAUCUAAUGGAUUUCUGUCUAUCUAAUAAAAAUGGUGAGGAGAGAGUGCAUCACCGCAUAUGAAUAAACUGUCAGCAACCUAAGUUUAGGCUACUAAAGCACCUUUCAGCCACAUCCGACUCGGAGAGCGAGAUGGAGAGAGCGGUCAGCAGCAAUGCACAUUUAUUAAGGUGGGAAGACUACCAGCAGGAAACAAGAUAACGAGGGUAAUGCAUAUGGAUGAACUGAUAUGUCAUGACACCACAAAAAACACGGAAGAUACUCUGUCGUCUAUAUUGUAAAACAGACUUGAACAAGCAGAAAGGCAUUUGCUCUUUAAGAAAACUGCCAAUUAUUUCAGCCAAAAUUCUCUAGAGUUGGAACUAUCAUGUAGAAGAGCAGAUGGAAGAAGGCAAUACCUUUGCGAAGUUUUUAUUCAUUUUUUCCCAUAUGAUCUUCUUGUAAUUAAUCUCCUUCGUGUUAUUGAGAUAUCCAACAACCUUUGCCACA